AGUGAACGCUGGCGGUAGGCCUAACACAUGCAAGUCGAACGGCAGCACAGUAAGAGCUUGCUCUUACGGGUGGCGAGUGGUGGACGGGUGAGGAAUACAUCGGAAUCUACUUUUUCGUGGGGGAUAACGUAGGGAAACUUACGCUAAUACCGCAUACGACCUACGGGUGAAAGCAGGGGAUCUUCGGACCUUGCGCGAUUGAAUGAGCCGAUGUCGGAUUAGCUAGUUGGCGGGGUAAAGGCCCACCAAGGCGACGAUCCGUAGCUGGUCUGAGAGGAUGAUCAGCCACACUGGAACUGAGACACGGUCCAGACUCCUACGGGAGGCAGCAGUGGGGAAUAUUGGACAAUGGGCGCAAGCCUGAUCCAGCCAUACCGCGUGGGUGAAGAAGGCCUUCGGGUUGUAAAGCCCUUUUGUUGGGAAAGAAAAGCAGCAGGUUAAUACCCCGCUGUUCUGACGGUACCCAAAGAAUAAGCACCGGCUAACUUCGUGC
rnacentral:rRNA from 1 species